UACAGAGGUCCCAAGCGUUGUUCGGAUUCACUGGGCGUAAAGGGUGCGUAGGUGGUGAGGUAAGUCGGAUGUGAAAUCUCCGAGCUCAACUCGGAAAUGGCAUUGGAAACUACCGUGCUCGAGGGUUGGAGGGGGGACUGGAAUGCUUGGUGUAGCAGUGAAAUGCGUAGAUAUCAAGCGGAACACCAGUGGCGAAGGCGAGUCCCUGGACAACUCCUGACACUGAGGCACGAAAGCUAGGGGAGCAAACAGG
rnacentral:rRNA from 1 species